rnacentral:rRNA from 1 species
AUUGAACGCUGGCGGCAGGCCUAACACAUGCAAGUCGAGCGGAUGAAGGGAGCUUGCUCCUGUAUUCAGCGGCGGACGGGUGAGUAAUGCCUAGGAAUCUGCCUGGUAUUGGGGGAUAACGUCCGGAAACGGGCGCUAAUACCGCAUACGUCCUGAGGGAGAAAGUGGGGGAUCUUCGGACCUCACGCUAUCAGAUGAGCCUAGGUCGGAUUAGCUAGUUGGUGGGGUAAAGGCCUACCAAGGCGACGAUCCGUAACUGGUCUGAGAGGAUGAUCAGUCACACUGGAACUGAGACACGGUCCAGACUCCUACGGGAGGCAGCAGUGGGGAAUAUUGGACAAUGGGCGAAAGCCUGAUCCAGCCAUGCCGCGUGUGUGAAGAAGGUCUUCGGAUUGUAAAGCACUUUAAGUUGGGAGGAAGGGCAGUAAGUUAAUACCUUGCUGUUUUGACGUUACCAACAGAAUAAGCACCGGCUAACUUCGUG